CAGUAGCCGCGGGAAAACGUAGGUAGCAAGCGUUGUCCGGAAUUAUUGGGCGUAAAGGGCUCGCAGGCGGUUUCUUAAGUCUGAUGUGAAAGCCCCCGGCUCAACCGGGGAGGGUCAUUGGAAACUGGGAAACUUGAGUGCAGAAGAGGAGAGUGGAAUUCCACGUGUAGCGGUGAAAUGCGUAGAGAUGCGGAGGAACACCAGUGGCGAAGGCGACUCUCUGGUCUGUAACUGACGCUGAGGAGCGAAAGCGUGGGGAGCGAACAGGAUUAGAUACCCGCGUAGUCCCUGUCUCUUAUAC
rnacentral:rRNA from 1 species